GACGAACGCUGGCGGCGUGCCUAAUACAUGCAAGUUGAGCGCUGAAGGUUGGUACUUGUACCAACUGGAUGAGCAGCAAACGGGUGAGUAACGCGUGGGGAAUCUGCCUUUGAGCGGGGGACAACAUUUGGAAACGAAUGCUAAUACCGCAUAAAAACUUUAAACACAAGUUUUAAGUUUGAAAGAUGCAAUUGCAUCACUCAAAGAUGAUCCCGCGUUGUAUUAGCUAGUUGGUGAGGUAAAGGCUCACCAAGGCGAUGAUAAUAGCCGACCUGAGAGGGUGAUCGGCCACAUUGGGACUGAGACACGGCCCAAACUCCUACGGGAGGCAGCAGUAGGGAAUCUUCGGCAAUGGACGAAAGUCUGACCGAGCAACGCCGCGUGAGUGAAGAAGGUUUUCGGAUCGUAAAACUCUGUUGGUAGAGAAGAACGUUGGUGAGAGUGGAAAGCUCAUCAAGUGACGGUAACUACCCAGAAAGGGACGGCUAACUACGUG
rnacentral:rRNA from 1 species